rnacentral:rRNA from 1 species
UGGGAGGCCCUAACCAUGCAAGUCGAGCGGUAGAGAGAAGCUUGCUUCUCUUGAGAGCGGCGGACGGGUGAGUAAUGCCUAGGAAUCUGCCUGGUAGUGGGGGAUAACGUUCGGAAACGGACGCUAAUACCGCAUACGUCCUACGGGAGAAAGCAGGGGACCUUCGGGCCUUGCGCUAUCAGAUGAGCCUAGGUCGGAUUAGCUAGUUGGUGGGGUAAUGGCUCACCAAGGCGACGAUCCGUAACUGGUCUGAGAGGAUGAUCAGUCACACUGGAACUGAGACACGGUCCAGACUCCUACGGGAGGCAGCAGUGGGGAAUAUUGGACAAUGGGCGAAAGCCUGAUCCAGCCAUGCCGCGUGUGUGAAGAAGGUCUUCGGAUUGUAAAGCACUUUAAGUUGGGAGGAAGGGUUGUAGAUUAAUACUCUGCAAUUUUGACGUUACCGACAGAAUAAGCACCGGCUAACUCUGUGCCAGCAGCCGCGGUAAUACAGAGGGUGCAAGCGUUAAUCGGAAUUACUGGGCGUAAAGCGCGCGUAGGUGGUUAGUUAAGUUGGAUGUGAAAUCCCCGGGCUCAACCUGGGAACUGCAUUCAAAACUGACUGACUAGAGUAUGGUAGAGGGUGGUGGAAUUUCCC